rnacentral:tRNA from 1 species
GAGUGUGUCUGGGAAAACGAGAACUGCUAAUUCCUCGCCCCAUGGUUCGAUUCCAUGGCCCACUCG